UUAAGAAAAGAUAGACUAUAUUUAAGUCAUUAGACUCAUAAUCUGAAAAUAAAUUUUUAAUUUUCUUUUUA
rnacentral:tRNA from 1 species